UGCAGUCGACGGCAGCGGGGGAGAAGCUUGCUUUUCCUGCCGGCGAGUGGCUGUAACGGGUGAGUAAUACAUCGGAACGUGCCCUGUAGUGGGGGAUAACUAGUCGAAAGAUUAGCUAAUACCGCAUACGACCUGAGGGUGAAAGUGGGGGACCGCAAGGCCUCAUGCUAUAGGAGCGGCCGAUGUCUGAUUAGCUAGUUGGUGGGGUAAAGGCCUACCAAGGCGACGAUCAGUAGCUGGUCUGAGAGGACGAUCAGCCACACUGGGACUGAGACACGGCCCAGACUCCUACGGGAGGCAGCAGUGGGGAAUUUUGGACAAUGGGCGAAAGCCUGAUCCAGCAAUGCCGCGUGUGUGAAGAAGGCCUUCGGGUUGUAAAGCACUUUUGUCCGGAAAGAAAUGGCUCUGGUUAAUACCUGGGGUCGAUGACGGUACCGGAAGAAUAAGGACCGGCUAACUACGUGCCAGCAGCCGCGGUAAUACGUAGGGUCCAAGCGUUAAUCGGAAUUACUGGGCGUAAAGCGUGCGCAGGCGGUUGUGCAAGACCGAUGUGAAAUCCCCGAGCUUAACUUGGGAAUUGCAUUGGUGACUGCACGGCUAGAGUGUGUCAGAGGGGGGUAGAAUUCCACGUGUAGCAGUGAAAUGCGUAGAGAUGUGGAGGAAUACCGAUGGCGAAUGCAGCCCCCUGGGAUAACACUGACGCUCAUGCACGAAAGCGUGGGGAGCAAACAGGAUUAGAUACCCUGGUAGUCCACGCCCUAAACGAUGUCAACUAGUUGUUGGGGAUUCAUUUCCUUAGUAACGUAGCUAACGCGUGAAGUUGACCGCCUGGGGAGUACGGUCGCAAGAUUAAAACUCAAAGGAAUUGACGGGGACCCGCACAAGCGGUGGAUGAUGUGGAUUAAUUCGAUGCAACGCGAAAAACCUUACCUACCCUUGACAUGCCACUAACGAAGCAGAGAUGCAUUAGGUGCUCGAAAGAGAAAGUGGACACAGGUGCUGCA
rnacentral:rRNA from 1 species